GUAGGUGGCAAGCGUUGUCCGGAAUUAUUGGGCGUAAAGCGCGCGCAGGCGGUCCUUUAAGUCUGAUGUGAAAGCCCACGGCUCAACCGUGGAGGGUCAUUGGAAACUGGGGGACUUGAGUACAGAAGAGGAAAGCGGAAUUCCAAGUGUAGCGGUGAAAUGCGUAGAGAUUUGGAGGAACACCAGUGGCGAAGGCGGCUUUCUGGUCUGUAACUGACGCUGAGGCGUGAAAGCGUGGGGAGCAAACAGGGAUUAGAUACCCUGGUAGUCCACGCCGUAAACGAUGAGUGCUAAGUGUUAGGGGGUUUCCCGCCCCUUAGUGCUGCAGCUAACGCAUUAAGCACUCCGCCUGGGGAUACGGCCGCAAAGCUG
rnacentral:rRNA from 1 species